rnacentral:misc_RNA from 1 species
UAGAUUUCCUUUUCGAACAACUGCGAAAUUGUUCUCAUACCCAUCGAGAACUACGUACUUGUGCGUUAGCACUUGCGUUUUUUUAGACGGGUUUCACUUGCUGCCUUCAUCUUGCUUCAAUUGAAGUAAGAUGCAGUGCAGAAAUAAGAAACCGGCACGGUUUGUGCCAAGGACAGUUGUUGUUGGAGAACUUGCCAUCAUUUUGAUGUGCUUUUGUUAUUCCAGUGAGCGUCUGAAUGACUCCUGGCAAUGGAUAUCUUGGCUCUCGUGUCGAUGAAGAACGUAGCGAAAUGCGACACUUGGUGUGAAUUGCAGAAUCCCGUGAACCAUCGAGUCUUUGAAUGCAAGUUGCGCUCGAGGCCAUUAGGUUGAGAGCACGUCUGUUUGGGCGUCAUGCCUUGCGUCAUUCUAGCCAUCCAUCUACAAUAUACUCACUGUGGGUGAUGGGGGAUGUGGAGAUUGACCUUCCGUGCUUUAAUUGUACGGUUGGUUUAAGUGAAUGUUGUCGUUAGGUCUACGCGUGGCGAAUGGUGUAUCGCGUUAACACACGAUGUCUCUAACUGCGGCCAGGAGUCCUACGCACGGCAUAAUAGUAACUGAAACCAUUUACGAUGUUUGCCUAAGUUGCAAGCACGGAAC